AGCGGGGUAGAGGAAUUGGUAAACUCAUCAGGCUCAUGACCUGAAGACUGCAGGUUCGAAUCCUGUCCCCGCCU
rfam:Ipomoea nil DNA, scaffold: scaffold2606, cultivar: Tokyo-kokei standard.